rnacentral:sRNA from 1 species
GCACAGCCAUCUGUGGUGACUAGGAGGUCCCCAAGCCGAGGACACCCAUCAAGGACCUUUGGAGUGGCCUCAGACCAAGGUCACCAAUCAAUGGCUAACUGGGGGUCCCAAAACUUAGCCCAGCCAUCUAUGGACAGUGGGGAGCCUUCAAGCCUAGCCCAGCCAUCUCAAGCCCCUGGGGUAACCUCAAACCUGGCCCAGCCAUCUCAAGCCUUUGGGGUGUCUCCAAGUCCAGACUACCCAUCUCAGGCUGUUGGGGAGUACCCAACCCUGGCCCAGCCAUUUCAGCCCACUGAGGUGUCCCCAAGUCCAACCUACCCAUCUCAGGCCAUUGGAGAGUACCCAACCCUGGCCCAGCCAUUUCAGCCCACUGAGGUAUCCCUAAGCUCAGCCCACCCAUAUCAGCUCACUGAGGUGUCCCCAAGCGCAGCCUACUCAUAUCAGCCCACUGAGGUGCCCCCAAACCCAGGCUACAUAUCUAUGGCCAUUGAGAUGUCCCCAAGCCCAGGAUACCCAUCUGUGGCCACUGAGGUGUCCCCAAACCCAACCUACACAUAUCAGCCCACUGAGAUAUCCCCAAGCCCAGGCUACCCAUAUCAGCCCACUGAGGUGUCCCCAAGCCCAGGCUACCCAUCUAUGGCCACUGAGGUGUCCCCAAGCCCAGGCUACCCAUAUCAGCCCACUGAGGUGUCCCCAAGCUCAGGCUACCUAUCUAUGGCUACUGAGGUGUCCCCAAGCCCAGACUACUCAUCUCAGCCCACUGAGGUGUCCCCAAGUUCAGGCUACAUAUCUAUGGCCACUGAGUUGUCCCCAAGCCCAGGCUACCCAUAUCAGCCCACUGAGGUGUCCCCAAGCCCAGGCUACCCAUAUCAGCCCACUGAGGUGUCCCCAAGCUCAGGCUACCUAUCUAUGGCCACUGAGAUGUCCCCAAGCCCAGGCUACCUAUCUAUGGCCACUGAGGUGUCCCCAAGCCCAGGCUACCCAUAUCAGCCCACUGAGGUGUUCCCAAGCUCAGGCUACCUAUCUAUGGCCACUGAGGUGUCCCCAAGCCCAGGCUACCCAUAUCAGCCCACUGAGGUGUCCCCAAGCUCAGGCUACCUAUCUAUGGCCACUGAGAUGUCCCCAAGCCCAGACUACUCAUCUCAGCCCACUGAGGUGUCCCCAAGCUCAGGCUACCUAUCUAUGGCCACUGAGGUGUCCCCAAGCCCAGGCUACCCAUAUCAGCCCACUGAGGUGUCCCGAAGCCCAGGCUACCCAUAUCAGCCCACUGAGGUGUCCCCAAGCUCAGGCUACCGAUCUAUGGCCACUGAGAUGUCCCCAAGCCCAGACUACUCAUCUCAGCCCACUGAGGUGUCCCCAAGCUCAGGCUACCUAUCUAUGGCCACUGAGGUGUCCCCAAGCCCAGGCUACCCAUAUCAGCCCACUGAGGUGUCCCCAAGCCCAGGCGACCCAUCUGUGGUCACUGGUGAGUCCCCAAGCUCAGCCUACCCAUCUCAGCCCACCGAGAUGUCCCCAAGCCCAGCCUACCCAUCUCAGCCCACUGGGGAGUCUCCAAGCCUGACCCAGCCAUCUCUGACCAUCAGAGUGUCCCCAAGCCUAGCCAUGUCAUCUCAGACCAUUGGAGUGUCCCCAAGCCUAGCCAUGCCAUUUCAUACCAUUGGAGUGUCCCCAAGCCUAGCUCACCCAUCUAUGGCCAUUCGGGAGUCUCCAAGCCUGGUCCAGCCUCCUCAGGCCACUGGGGAAUCCCCAAGCUUGACCUGGCCAUCUCAGGCCACUGGGGUGUCCCUAAGUGUAGCCCACCGACCUAUGACCUGUGUGGUGUCCUUAAGCCCAGCCCAGCCAUCUCAAGCCAUUGGUGUGUCUCCAAGCCUAGCCCACCCAUCAGGACCCCAUGGGUUGUCUCCAAGCCUAGCUCAUCCAUAUUUGGCCAGUGGGAUGGGCCCCAGCCUAGCCCACCCAUCUCAGACCACUGCAGUAUCCGCAAGGCAAGCCCAACCAUCUGUGGUCUCCAGCCCAGGCAAGACAUAUUCAUCCUGUACCCUAGCCUCCAGCCUAGCCGAGCCAGCCAUAGCCCCCAGCCUAUUCCCACCAUCUAUGGCCCACACGGAAGCCCUAAGCCUGGCUCAGUCACCUCCGGACACUAGGUUGGCCCCAAGCCAAUCCCAGCCAUCUGUGGUCAGUGGUACAUGUCAUGGCCUCAAUGAGCCAUGCUGGGGCUCUAGGCUGGAUUCAAAUCUGCAGUGUUCAAGGGUAGACUCAGUAGCCCCGUGUCUGUGUCACCCAUCAGCGUUUGUUUCAGUUAGCCCGGGUGUACCAUAUCCCUCUGUGGCUGGAAGUAUGGACCAGGGUCCGAACCAGCCUUCCCUGGGUACUGGGGUGAACCUAUGUGAAGAACCUCUGAUGGUUAGUGAGAUGGUAUCCAGCCCCCCGGACUUCAAGUUCAACGACGUGUCCUUUGGGUUCCAUCAUCCACCCAGGGUUGGUGGAAGGCAUGUGUGUCCACCCUCUGUGGUUAGUGUUUCAACACCACAUUUCUCUCAUGCUGAUGAGGAGGCCUGUUGUGUAGGCCAGCGAAUCACGCCUCUGUUCAGGGGUGUGGCUACAAGCCAUCCCCAGGAGCCCUUGGCUGGUGCUAUGUUCCUCAGUGGGUCUCAGGGGACCACGUCUCCUGGCUUAGCUGGGAGUCUCCCCCGGAGAACCAUAGCAACUGGCAUGGGCCAAAGUCAAUGUCAGGUGGCCAAUGGUGUGGCUUCCCUUGCAUCCCAGGUCUUAGAGGCAGGUGGCCCUUUGACACAUCCCUCUGGAACCACAGGGAUGGCCCCCAGCCCCUCUCUGGCUUCAGCGCCCAACAGACUGGCCAUGACUCAGUCUAAUCUUUCCCUGAACAGCGUUGGCCCCAGCAGCUCCCAGAUCAGUGUGGUUAUUCCAAAAAACAUAGACCGCUGGCACCCUUCUGAGGCACCCAUGGUCCCACCCAGUUACCAGCAGAGAGAUGUGAUUCCGCAGGACUCUCUGAAGAGCAGAGCUGGUUGUGGUGCGGCAGGGGAUUUUAUAGCCAGUAAGAUGAGCACGGGUGCAGUCCCAGGCGCUCUGCCUGGUGGCAUAACCUCCAGCCUUCCCCCGGGGUCCGCCAUCCGAGGCAUGGGUCAGAGCCUUCCCGCAGGCUCUGAGUGCAGUUGGGUGGCUCCCAGUCUGAUGGCAGACAGAAAGAAGCCGAGUCUAUCUGUAAGACCCUCCGAUAGCUUAGCUGCUCCAAACUUGCUCCCAGGUUCGGUAGUGAGUGGGGUGAGCCCAGUUGUCCCCCUUGGUUCUGUGCCAAUGAUGGGGGCCUCUAGUGUGGCUCAGAGCUGCUCCAAGGGGUCCAUGGUGAUUGACAUCACUGCCUCUCCUUUCCUCAAAGCCCUGGCUGGGGAGAGGCCUAUAGCCCCCUUGCAGAUGCCCCACACCACCAGCCUGGCUCCAGGUCACUCCUCAGCCCCGGCAGCUAGUGGCACAGUGAGGAGUCUACACCGAGUGCCCACGGUUCUAUCAAGACCCUUACAAUUGAGCCAAGAUGCUGGGAUAAUGCCAUCUGGGGCCACAGGGGACCAAGCCGAGCUAGGAGAAUUGGAUGAGGCUGUGUCCCAAGUGUCAGUAUCAAGUGGAUCCAAUGACCUAACCAGCAAAGCCAGGGUCAUUGGCGCAACCCCGUGGAUGUACCCCAGUCCUCUGGGACCUGAUGGGGGCCGUGAUCAUAGGUCCCUGUCUGAGAAAGGGUCUCUUCCCCAAGGCCAAACACCAUUGUUCAGGGAGGUGGCUCCCAGCCAUGCUAGUGGCAUGGUCCCUGUCCCUUUCCAGGCCCCGGGUUUAGCCACUAAGACCCCCUCAGUUUAUCAACAGGGGUCUGUCAUUCACGUCAUACCCCAAAAUCACUCUCAGGGUACAGUGGCUUCUAAUGUAGUCUCAGGAUCACCCCAGCUGGCCCGUGGCAGUACUGAGGAUUUCAGAUGGCUUUCAGUGUCUGUGGGCAGGAUGGGGAAUCCUAGUCUUCCUCAGAGGUCAGGGACUGCCAGCAUGGUCUCACAUGUUCCACCACAUCCAUCCUCGGCUAGAAGGGCAUCGUCCAGUCCCUUCCAGACAGAAGCUGUCCCCAAUCCACUCCAGAAAACAGUGUCUGUAAACCUGGCUCAGAGCAGCCGCUGGGACUCCAUGGGCCCUAAAAAUUCCUACAGAUCCGUGCAUGGUAGGAUUGUUCCAGAACUGCUAGAAAGUUCUGUGGCCAGGGUUAGGCCCUUCCAGUAUGUGCAAAGACAACCAUCCCAGGCCUCAGCCCGAGGUGGUGCAAACUCCACCCAUAGGCCCUCUGCAGAGGUAAGGCCCGUCAUCCGCACUGGGGAGAUGACACACUCCUUGGCCAUUCCUCCCGGGGCCCCGGGAGUUCGGAGGGUGUCUCUAGGCUACGAGUCUUCCCCGAGUGAUUCCCUGCCGCCCCUUUUUAACCAGGAGUCACCGUGGGGAUUGCAGGACUCCUAUAGCCCCCAGAAUCCUGCCGUUAAUCACAAGGCAUCCCUGAACUCCACUAUACUCCAGGGCCCCACGGACACUGGUGUGGCUAGUGGCCAAUCGUGGAACCGCGUGUGGGAGCCAGCCAGGGGUGCUGCGCCCUGGGACACCCGGCGCAACAAGGCGGUGGUGCAUCCCAGGUGGUCCGGGGAGCCGAUGAUGUCCAUGCAGGCUGCAGAGGAGAUCCGCAUCCUUGCAGUGAUCACUAUCCAGGCAGGCGUCCGUGGCUACCUGGCGCGUCGCAGGAUCCGGGUGUGGCACCGGGGGGCCACGGUCAUCCAAGCUACUUGGCGUGGCUACCGUGUGCGGCGGAACCUGGCACACCUCUGCAGAGCCACCACAAUCAUCCAGGCUGCCUGGCGCGGCUACAGCACCCGCCGGGACCAAGCCCGGCACUGGCAGAUGCUCCACUCCGUCACGUGGGUGGAGCUGGGCGGCCGGGCCGAGGUCAUGUCUGACCGAAGCUGGUUCCAGGAUGGCAGAGCCAGGACAGUAUCUGACCAUCGCUGCUUCCAGUCCUGCCAGGCACAUGCUUGCGGCGUCUGCCACUCCCUGAGCUCCAGGAUCGGGAGCCCGCCCAGUGUGGUGAUGCUAGUGGGCUCCAGCCCUCGCACCUGUCAUACCUGUGGACGCACCCAGCCCACCCGCGUGGUGCAGGGCAUGGGCCGGGGCGCUGGGGGCCCCGGGGCAGUGUCUUUGUCCUCCGCCUACCAGCAGGCUGCCCCGAGUCCCAGGCAGCCGCAUCGCCAGGACAAAGCGGCCACAGCCAUCCAGUCCGCCUGGAGGGGCUUUAAGAUCCGCCGGCAGAUGAGGCAGCAGCAAAUGGCAGCGAAGAUGGUUCAAGCCACCUGGCGAGGUCACCAUACCCGGAGCUGUCUGAAGAACACAGAGGCGCUCUUGGGACCAGCAGACCCCUGGGACAGCUCACGGUACACGCAUUGGCCCGGCAUCUAGGACCCUGGAUCCCUGCAGUGGGGACUUCGUGGGAGGCACUCAUGGCUCUCUGGGUCUAAUGAAUAAAGUCCUCCACAGCCU